rnacentral:rRNA from 1 species
UACGUAGGCAGCAAGCGUUGUUCGGAAUUACUGGGCGUAAAGCGUGCGCAGGCGGUUGUGCAAGACCGAUGUGAAAUCCCCGGGCUUAACCUGGGAAUGGCAUUGGUGACUGCACGGCUAGAGUGUGUCAGAGGGGGGUAGAAUUCCACGUGUAGCAGUGAAAUGCGUAGAGAUGUGGAGGAAUACCGAUGGCGAAGGCAGCCCCCUGGGCCUGCACUGACGCUCAUGCACGAAAGCGUGGGGAGCAAACAGG